rfam:Schizosaccharomyces japonicus yFS275 unplaced genomic scaffold supercont5.1, whole genome shotgun sequence.
GGGGAUGUGGUUUAGGGGUAUAACGUUUCAUUCGCAUGUCCGCGCCUUGAAAAGGUCCCGGGUUCGAUUCCCGGCAUCUCCA